GCACUGCUGAGGAGUCCCACAAUAAAGCGAAACGGCCGUCCAGUGC
rfam:Schistosoma curassoni strain Dakar, Senegal genome assembly, scaffold: SCTD_scaffold0001728